rnacentral:rRNA from 1 species
GACGAACGCUGGCGGCGUGCUUAACACAUGCAAGUCGAACGGAAAGGCCCUGCUUUUGUGGGGUGCUCGAGUGGCGAACGGGUGAGUAACACGGGAGUAACCUGCCCUUGACUUUGGGAUAACUUCAGGAAACUGGGGCUAAUACCGGAUAGGAGCUCCUGCUGCAUGGUGGGGGUUGGAAAGUUUCGGCGGUUGGGGAUGGACUCGCGGCUUAUCAGCUUGUUGGUGGGGUAGUGGCUUACCAAGGCUUUGACGGGUAGCCGGCCUGAGAGGGUGACCGGCCACAUUGGGACUGAGGUACGGCCCAGAGUCCUACGGGAGGCAGCAGUGGGGAAUAUUGCACAAUGGGCGGAAGCCUGAUGCAGCAACGCCGCGUGCGGGAUGACGGCCUUCGGGUUGUAAACCGCUUUCGCCUGUGACGAAGCGUGAGUGACGGUAAUGGGUAAAGAAGCACCGGCUAACUACGUG